rnacentral:rRNA from 1 species
UGCCAGCAGCCGCGGUAAUACGAAGGGUGCUAGCGUUGUUCGGAAUUAUUGGGCGUAAAGCGCGUGUAGGCGGUUCGUUAAGUCUGAUGUGAAAGCCCGGGGCUCAACCCCGGAAGUGCAUUGGAAACUGGCGAACUUGAGUACGGGAGAGGAAAGUGGAAUUCCGAGUGUAGGGGUGAAAUCCGUAGAUAUUCGGAGGAACACCAGUGGCGAAGGCGGCUUUCUGGACCGAUACUGACACUGAGGUGCGAAAGCGUGGGGAGCAAACAGGAUUAGAUA